GUGCGCAUGCGAUUCUGAUUAGUCGAACACAAAAUUACAGUAUAUUGAGAUUCUUAGUGAAAAGGAAGAAUUAGCAAGUAAACAUAGUUCAAACUUUCAAUCAGAAAAUUUCAAGACUUAAAAAAGGUAUAUUUUCAAUUUACGUUUAUUACAGCGUAAGUCAAUUUUGACACGUGAACGGUGAUAGUGCAAAGAAGUUUACCGACGUAACGACGAUAUGAGCCAUGGAAUAUAACAGAAGACCCAGCUUCCAUAGAAUUUUGGUGCCGAUUGUGUUUACGUUUGUGUGUGUGUGAAUUAUAGAAUUAAAUUUUAAUUGGAUUAAAAAGUUAAACGAUACGAGCGGCUGGACUCCUGUUAGGUCCAUCUUGACGGCAACUUCAGCAAAGAUAGAAUUGAAAGCCGAGCACUCUCCAGUACUAAUUGUGAUCACGACUUGAAUAAAGGUUGAAGAAAAUACCGUAAAGCAAUGUCAGUUCUAAAUCAAGGAGGUGAAGACGCAGUAGAGUGCCCACUAUGCAUGGAACCAUUAGAGGUCGAUGAUUUGAACUUUUUUCCAUGUACUUGUGGUUAUCAGAUUUGCCGUUUUUGUUGGCAUAGAAUUCGGACUGAUGAAAAUGGUUUGUGUCCCGCUUGCCGCAAGGCCUACUCAGAGAACCCUGCUGAUUUUAAACCCCUAAGUAAAGAAGAGAUUGCAAGGCUAAAAGUUGAAAAAAGAAUAAAAGACCAGCAACGAAAGCAGCGAGUCACCGAAAACCGGAAACAUUUAGCUAAUGUGCGAGUUGUACAAAAGAAUCUGGUUUUCGUAGUUGGUUUACCAAUGCGGCUUGCGGAUCCCGAUGUGUUAAAAAGGCAUGAAUAUUUUGGAAAAUUCGGUAAAAUUCACAAAGUUGUAAUAAAUCAGAGUACUUCAUAUGCUGGAUCGCAGGGUCCUAGCGCUUCGGCUUACGUUACUUAUCAGCGCCAGGAAGAUGCAUUGCGUGCUAUAGAGGCUGUAAAUAAUAUUGUUGUGGAUGGAAGGACAAUAAAAACGUCACUUGGUACGACAAAAUACUGCUCACAUUUUAUGCGAAAUCAAACUUGUCCGAAGCCAGAUUGUAUGUAUUUGCAUGAUCUGGGUGAUCAGGAGGCCUCAUUUACGAAGGAGGAGAUGCAUCAAGGAAAACAUCAAGAAUACGAAAGAAAACUAGUGCAAUCGUUACUCGCUAACACAUCUUCACAAAGAAAACCUACUCCAUCUCCAACUGUAUCUGGCAAUGCUGUUCGAGAUAGUGGGACCUCAAAUUCGCAAACCAAAGAAGCUUGGCCUUCGCUGCAGUCUGGUCUGACAAACAGUGCGCAGCCCAAUUAUAAGGAGCCUUCUACCCCGAUUCAGAUUCCUAUUCAACAAACUAAUGUAAUUGAUGAGAAUAGUACGAAUGUAGUACAAAAUCUUUCACUGCCGACAGUGCCAGCAAAAAAACAUAGUAAUAACAAUAAAGGGGAAAAUGGAGUUGGUCUUCGGCGAGGGAAAAAUAAUAGUGAAAGUAAAGUACAAGCAGCUCGAAACAAACAUAAAAACUGUCAAAAUAAAGAAAAAAGUAAUGCACGAGUUAUGGUGCAGCCUGAGUUAACUUACAGUAACACGCAAAUCGUGCAAGAUAUAGCACAGCCUCACGCUAAUGGACAGAACGAAUUCGAGACUUAUUCAGCCGAUUCGAUUAUGGAAACUGAACAAAAAACUGCAAUUAAAAUAGAAGUAGAUUAUUCACAGCCGCACAGUGCACAGGGUUCAGAAUUUGAGAUAAUGCAAAAAAUGAAUGAUCUUAAGAUAAAUGGGAUGGUACAAAUUGGGGAUUUCAGCUACUCGGACCGAGACGAAAAGUCACAACCAGAAAGGAGUACACCGGUCAGCACAAUAUCUAAUUCAGACGAUUCAAAUGCAAAUGAAGAAGUUGACCAUCUAGUGAAGUCAAAGGAAACAAAUGAUAGCUCGGCUCUCUUGGGUUCUUCUCCAAAGAGCUUAAAUUCUUCACAGAAUGCAGAUCACCAGUCUUCUACAGGUCCAUAUAUCGUAGACAAUGCUAAUAUUUCACAGUCUCAACUGAAUCGUCGAUCCAUUUUUCCAGCGGAUAAUAACAGUUUCUUUAGCUCAAAUAACUUUCAAAAAGUUUCAAACUCUAUAUCAACACCAUCUAUGACACAUACAGCAAAUUCAACUGUUGACUGGAUGAAUUCAGGAAAUGUGUCAAUACCAGACUCGUUACCAACAGUAUAUUCGAGCGAAGAUUGGCAAGCGGCUUUUGGAUUUCAAAAUGAAUCGUCACAAGCAGCUCGCUCUAUGGCUAAGUCUAAUAGGGUCAACAUGCCAAGAGUACCAUUCCACUCAGAAGAUUUUUUAGUCGAAGAUACAUAUACUAAUUCACAAUAUCCAUGUUCAAACUCUACGACUUUUGUAUCGAAUUUGCUCGUGAAUUCCCCAGCUUCCAAAUUUAUGGCUGACUUCCAGCAGAAUUCAUUGCAACAAAGACUCGUCAUGCAGGCCCAACAAAAUUAUGAAAAUAGUGAGUAUUUAAAACAAAAUGGGUACACUGCUCUAAACAAAGUGCAGACUCCUCACGUCAUAGGACCUGCUUCAAAGGCUGAUGAUGACUUAGGCUUUGAUCCAUUUCACGAGACACAAAAAGCAUUAGCUGAACUGAUGGAAAAUGAAAUUCAAAUACAACAGCAAAGACUUCUCCAACAACAGCAAGAACAGAAGCAGCAACAACAAUUAAAGGAAAGGGAGGAUAAUAGAGUGCAAGUACAAUGUUCCUUAGGCCCUCAACACUUUUCCCAGGUGGCUCACUUAGCACAACUUCAGCACCAGGCUCAACAUCUACAGAACUUGCAAGCUCUUCAGAAUUCACACUCCUUACUAUCCCGAUUACCACAAGAUUUUAUUCAACAAAAUACAGCUCAAGGAACAAUAACAGUAACUAACUUGGGACAGCGAAGUCGCUUACCGCCUCCAGGCUUUCCAAGCUCCUCAACCAACCACAUGAAUUCAUUUGGUCUUGGAAUACCACGUCCAGCAUCUUCUGGUAAUACCCUCUCUGAGAAGCAGGUCGAAGGACGGAUCGAUUUUCCUGAAUUUCAUCUCAGCUUGGAUCGAUUUCGAAAAAUUCGACCUUGAACACACGCUGGGUCGGAUCAGAUUUAAAGAUUUGAACAUGCAUCGAAUUUCAUCGAUUCGACAAAUUACUUUACUUUAAGUCCCUUUAGGAGAGGAAAAACUUCCGCUUCACGUAAUCUAUAAAUGAUUCACUACAAAUAAGCAGUAUGAAAUAUAGAAUUGUUGAUGUCCACUGGUAGUAAAAUGUUACCAUUCGCAAGUCAUUCAUCGGGUGUGAUAUUAACAGGACAAACAUCUCAUCAGUCAACCUAUCUUCCAAAUCAGAAUUCAC